UACGAAGGGGGGCGAGCGUUGUUCGGAAUUACUGGGCGUAAAGGGCGCGUAGGCGGCGACCCAAGUCAGAUGUGAAAGUCCUGGGCUUAACCUGGGGACUGCAUUUGAUACUGGGUUGCUUGAAUUCGGGAGAGGAUAGCGGAAUUCCAGGUGUAGCGGUGAAAUGCGUAGAUAUCUGGAGGAACACCGGUGGCGAAGGCGGCAUCCUGGACCGACACUGACGCUGAGGCGCGAAAAGCUAGGGUAGCAAACGGGG
rnacentral:rRNA from 1 species